UACAGAGGUCCCAAGCGUUGUUCGGAUUCAUUGGGCGUAAAGGGUGCGUAGGCGGCGCGGUAAGUCGGGUGUGAAAUCUCGGAGCUUAACUCCGAAACUGCAUUCGAUACUGCCGGGCUAGAGUCCGGAAGAGGCGAGUGGAACUCCUGGUGUAGCGGUGGAAUGCGCAGAUAUCAGGAAGAACACCAACGGCGAAGGCAGCUCGCUGGGACGGUACUGACGCUGAGACGCGAAAAGCGUGGGGAGCGAACAGG
rnacentral:rRNA from 1 species